rnacentral:lncRNA from 1 species
GAAUUUUUUAAUAUUUAUUUUUUAGUUUUCGGUGGACACAUCUUUAUUUUUAUGUGGUGCUGAGGAUCGAACCCAGUGCCCUGCGCAUGCCAGGCGAGCGUGCUACUGCUUGAGCCACAUCCCCAGCCCACUAAGAGACAUUUUUAGAUUCAGUUUUUUAAAAUGAUCAUCCCUCCUUUAUCUCUAAAUCAAUUUGGUACCAUGAAUACAGAUAUAUACACAAGCACACAAGUAGACAUACAAUAUAUACAGGUAUACAAACAUGCAUUAAAAGGCAGAAAACAAAUAUUUUAUAAUUAUCAUUUACUAGAUUUUAGGUCUUCAUAGGUAGGAGCAUGCACCAGAUUUAGAAUACCAAAAAUCAAAACAUACUCUGACACAGAAGGUUAUCAAAUGACACACUGAGCAACAGAUUACACCACAGGGGACACAGAUAUGGAGGAGGCCCAUCUAGCUGGGGAUGGUCGGGCAGAGUCUAUGAAGCAGUGGUUCAGGUGACUACUUGUUUAUUAGCCCCGAGGCAGAUCCAAGUCAACAUCCCCCUGUUUACCCUCCUCUUUAGGGCUUUCUAAAGGGGAAGAUCCCUGUUUUUUUUUUUUUUUUUUUUUUUUUCAUUUGGGAAUUAGUUAGCCAUUAAAUAACUGCUUAAAAUAAUAACCCUUGAAUAAUUAAUUGCUUGUUUGGUACUGGGGAUUGAACCCAGGAGUGCUUUAUCACUGAGCUACAUUCCCAGGCCUUUUUAUUUUUUGUUUUGAGUCAGGGACAAGCUAAGUUGUUUAGGGCCUCACUAAAUUGCUGAGGUUGGCUUUGAUCUUGUGAUCCUCCUGCAUCAGUACCCAAACUGCUGGGAUUACAGGCAUGCGCCAUUAUGCCUGACUACGAUAACUUUGUUUUUUGGGGGGAGGUGGUACCAGGGACUGAACUCAGGGGCACUAGGCCACUGAGCCACAUCCCCAGCCCUAUUUUGUAUUUUAUUUAGAGACAGGGUCCCACUCAGUUGCCUAGCGCCUUGCUGUUGUUGAGGCUGGCUUUGAACUUCUAUCUCAGAUCCUCCUAUCUCCGCGUCCCAAGCUGCUGAGAUUACAAGUAUGGGCCAGCAUGCCCAACUAGAAUAACCAUUUUUUUAAAAAAGAAAAAUAUCAGGGAAAAGAACCAGGUAGAUAGUCAGAUCUGUCCAUUUUCCUUCCUGUUUACAGAACAAGUCAAACUGAAAUGUUAAAUUAAAAUGUACAGUCCCAUGUGUAGGCCAUGUUUCCUCACUCUCUAAUUUAUAUUGGUCCAAACUGUAUUAAAGAAAACAAUCAACCCAGGUGUGUGGCACAUGCCUGUAAUACAAUGGCUCAGGAGGCUGAAGUGGGAGGAUUCCAAAUUCAAAGUCAGCCUCAGCAAUUAAACAAACCCCGGCUCAGAAUAUAGCAAAUAAGAGGGCUGGGGGCGGGGGGGUGGGGGGGCUGGAGGGAUGAGGGGGGUUCAGUGGUAGAGCAAUUUUCUAGCAUGUGUGAGGCACUGGGUUCAAUUCUCAGCACCGCAUAAAAAUAAAUGAAUAAGGGGCUGUGGCUGUGGCUGAGUGGUAGAGCAUUCAUCUCGAAUGUGUGAGGCCCUGGGUUUGAUCCUUAGUACCCCAUAAAUAAAAUUGUGUCCACCCACAACUAAAAAAAUAUUUAAAAAUAAAUAAAUGUCCAUCAACAACCAAAAACAUAUUUUUAAAAAAGGGGGCUGGGGAUGUCGCUCAGUGUUUAAGCAUCCCUGGGUUCAAUCCUUGGUAGAAAAAUAAUUAUUUUAAAACUUCUGCUUUAAAAUAAUACCAGUUAUUGUAAUCUCAUUUACUCUAGGGAAUGAGGCAGGAGGAUCAUAAGUUCAAGGCCAGCCUCAGAAAUUUAGUAAGGCCUUGCCUCAAAAAAAAAGAAAGAAGGGCUUUCUUUGAAACCAGUGUCUCUGGUUCAAUCUGUAGUGCCACCAAAAUGAGUAAAUAAAUAAUCCCAGCUAUUAUUAUGUACCUGAGGGGUGAGAUCUCAGGGAUAGACACUGAAUUACCAAUUAUCUUGAAGUUUAUCCACUUUGAAAAUUUUCUAAAAAGAAAAAAGAACAAGGGGUUGGGCUGUGGCUCAGUGGUAGAGCGCCUGCCUCGCACGCAUGAGGCACUGGGUUCCAUCCUUGGCACCACAUAAAAAGAAAGGUUAUUGUGUCCACCUACAACUAAAAAACAAAACAAAACAAGAACAAGAUCAUUCUUUUUGCAGAUUAUUGGUGGUUUGAGCAUCUUCACCUCCAAAAAGCAGACAUAGCCUCAGGAUCCACCAAACUAUACUUUUGAUGUCCUCAAGAAAAAGAAGACUUAGCUGGGCAUGGUGGCACAUGCCUAUAUUUCAGUGACUUGGGAGGCUGAGAUAGCAGGACCCCAAGUCUGAGGCUAGCCUUGGCAAUUUAGUGAGACCCUGUAGCAAAUAAAAAUAAAUAAAUAAAAAAGACUGGGGAUGUAGUUCAGUGGUAAAGCACCCCUGGCUUCAACCCAUGGUACCAAAAAGAGAAAAAGUCAUCUUAGUCCCUUAUGAAAAGAAUAUCACAAAGACUUGAAAUCAUCUAAAUGCACUUGAAAAUUUAUGAUUUUUAAGAUGAUGACACAAAGACCUUUUACAGAGUUUUAAAUAGGAUUUGGAGGUAUUCCAGAGUAGGACAGAGUUAGGAAAACUUCAACAGAAGAUGAUCUAUUUAUGGCUGAUGUUCUUAUCCUAAAUAAUAAAUUAAGAGCACCUGCUAAGUCUUAAAGGAGUUUGUUUUUGUACUGGGGAUUGAACCCAGAGGCACUUCUACCACUGAGCUACAUCCCCAGCCCUUUUUAUUUGUUUAUUUUGAGGCAGGGUCUCCCUGAGUCACCUAGGGCCUUGUGAAACUACUGAGCUGGCUUUGGUUCUGCCACCCUCCUCCCUUCUUGAUUGCUUGGAUUACAGGCCUGUGCCAGUGUGCUCAGCAGCAUUCUGGAUUUUUAAAGAGAACCCCCCAACCCCUUAUUUGUCUUUUGAUCUCAAAGGAAUCUGAGAAAUGACUCGUACAAAGUUUACAUUCCAGUUCUUGAUUAAGAUAACAGACCUUAGGAGACAGAUACCAGGUAGAGAACUGAGAAUCUACUAUAGCUAAUUCCACAACUGCAGCAUAAGAAAAAAGAAAAGGGAAGAAUUCUAAAGACCAGUGAGCUCCUGCAUGAUUAAUUUUUAUUUAUUAUUGGGGAUUGAACCCAGGGGUGCUCUACCACUGAGCCACUCUUUUAUUUUGAAAUGUUUCACUAAGUUGCUUAGGACCUGCUAAACUGGGGCUGGCUUUGAACUUGCAAUCCUCCUGCCUCAGCCUCUGGAGUUGCCUGGUGUGCCACCAAGCCCAGCUACUAAAGGAAAUUUGGUGAGGGCAGGCAUGGGAAGGUAUGUGGGGAUGACAUCAGUCUGGGACCAAAAGAGAAGAUGGUGGUCCAACAGUUCUCAGGAUCUUCAGGCUGGCUGACUUAUCUCCAUUAUCUGAUUGGUAGAUUCACUAGAAUAAUGUUUUGUUUUGUUAAGUAUUCUUAGUUAUAGAUGAACAUAUAUAUUUUUGUGGGGGGGUACAGGGGAUUAAACUCAGGGGCAAUCAACCACUGAACCACUUCCCCAGCCCUAUUUUUGUAUUUUAUUGAGUCAGGGACAAGCUAAGUUGUUUAGGGCCUCACUAAAUUGCUGAGGUUGGCUUUGAUCUUGUGAUCCUCCUGCAUCAGUACCCAAACUGCUGGGAUUACAGGCAUGCGCCAUUAUGCCUGACUACGAUAACUUUGUUUUUUGGGGGGAGGUGGUACCAGGGACUGAACUCAGGGGCACUAGGCCACUGAGCCACAUCCCCAGCCCUAUUUUGUAUUUUAUUUAGAGACAGGGUCCCACUCAGUUGCCUAGCGCCUUGCUGUUGUUGAGGCUGGCUUUGAACUUCUAUCUCAGAUCCUCCUAUCUCCGCGUCCCAAGCUGCUGAGAUUACAAGUAUGGGCCAGCAUGCCCAACUAGAAUAACCAUUUUUUUAAAAAAGAAAAAUAUCAGGGAAAAGAACCAGGUAGAUAGUCAGAUCUGUCCAUUUUCCUUCCUGUUUACAGAACAAGUCAAACUGAAAUGUUAAAUUAAAAUGUACAGUCCCAUGUGUAGGCCAUGUUUCCUCACUCUCUAAUUUAUAUUGGUCCAAACUGUAUUAAAGAAAACAAUCAACCCAGGUGUGUGGCACAUGCCUGUAAUACAAUGGCUCAGGAGGCUGAAGUGGGAGGAUUCCAAAUUCAAAGUCAGCCUCAGCAAUUAAACAAACCCCGGCUCAGAAUAUAGCAAAUAAGAGGGCUG